GCUUGUCGUUUCCCCUCCCUGGUUCCUUCGGCUUGUUUUAAGUGGAUUCUAAGACUGCUCACCUCUCAGCUAAACGGCGGUUUAAAUGAAUACUGUGUACCCGUGCCUGUGAAGGGAUAAUAGAGCACUUUGUUCUUUCCCGGAUUCUCCCUCUCGUUCAUGGCGAUCGGUUUGUUUGUGCUGUCGCUAUAGUUACAGCCCUGUCGUUUCUCUGCUGCCAAACUGCGAGAACGCCGUAUCGUCCAACUAAUAAAGGAGAUUGUUGCUGUCUGGUUUCAUUAGAUUAUAGUUUAUUUUUCUUUGGGGUUGACGCUCACUGAUUUUUGGAACAAGGAGCACAGAACGACGCGUUUUGCUCCGUGUGAGCCUGUCUCCCCAAUUGUCUGAAUUUAGUUAAUUUGUUUUCUUUACAAACUGUUUGUUUCUUUUAUUAUUUGUAAUAAUAUUUGUAUAGUUUCUUAUUCGAUUUGUUGUUGUUUUAUUAUUGUCUGCUCUAUGAUACAAUCAAACUGUGAUUUAUUGUAAUUAUGUUUUGAAGUUUGUUUUUAAUUCUUUUACAGUCGCUGGGGUCCCACGGGUGAAGGGUCUCUUGUGGUGGUGGUACUCCUACAACGGUUGCCGUGUGACACUUUCCAAGUGUUUUUUUGGUUGUAUGAUCUGAGAGCACGGUGGUGUGUGUGGGUGUGUGUGAGUGUGUGAGAAAGUGUGCUGUUGCCUAACUAGUCUUGUGAUCACUUCUCCUGUGGUGAACCUCAGCCCUGUAAGUAUUGUGUAGUUUUGUGAGUUGUGUAAAUAUUAGUUAUGUAAAGUGUUGUGUAUGUGUUUGUUAUUUUUGUUUAUUUUGAAACUUAUAUCAGUCAUGCACUUCUAACAAGCCGUCAUACACUGCCUGUUACAACGGAUACUAUUUU